rnacentral:rRNA from 1 species
UACGUAGGGUGCAAGCGUUGUCCGGAAUUAUUGGGCGUAAAGAGCUUGUAGGCGGUUUGUCGCGUCUGCUGUGAAAUUUCGGGGCUCAACCCCGAACUUGCAGUGGGUACGGGCAGGCUAGAGUGUGGUAGGGGAGACUGGAAUUCCUGGUGUAGCGGUGAAAUGCGUAGAUAUCGGGAGGAACACCAGUGGCGAAGGCGACUACCUGGCCUGUUCUUGACGCUGAGGCGCGAAAGCUAGGGGAGCAAACGGG